CUGCAGGCUUGAAGAGAGAGGGCAGGAAAUUGUUCAAGUGUUGCUUCUAUGAGGAUGAGAAACUGCCGGCCCAGACUGACCAUGGUAUGCUUUUGUUUGUUACAGGACAUUCAUCCGUUCUACGCCGAUUUGAUGAAUAUUCUGUACGGCAAAGAUCACUACAAGUUGGCUCUGGGGCAAAUAAAUAUUGCCAAAAAUUUAGUGGCCAAUGUUGCUAAAGAUUACGUGCGGUUGAUGAAGUACGGUGACUCUCUGUACCGCUGCAAGCAGCUGAAGCGUGUGGCCCUGGGGCGGAUGUGCACCGUGAUCAAGAGGCAGAGGCAGAGUCUGGAGUAUUUGGAGCAAGGUGCUUGUCACGCAUGCGCAGGAACCGUGUUAGUGUCCUGCUGACAGGAUGCGUCCUUGUUGGGGAGUUACUCUUGAGAUGUCUGUUUUGUCAUAGUUUGGAGAUGACAUGGUCAGUUAUUUCUCCUAGCUUUACCUGUGAGAAACAGUGCUAUAGGCUUGUUUUUAUUGAAAAAGUGCUAGCACUUACAAUACGUACAAAUUAAUAGCACCCAUAAGAAAGUUUAUGUAUUUCAUAUUUAAUAGGUAAGGGAUAGACAAAUCAUGAGAAAAUGAUGAAAAGUGUAAAACAUAAGAUGGCUUAGAAACAAUAAAACAAGCAAAAAUAAGAUGGCUUGUAGUUUAUUGUUGACACUUUUAUUUCAGAAGAUACUUUUAUUCAGUAGGACUUCUCUGAAUUACUCUAGUAGGGUUCUAUUGAAAGCACCACUUGCCUGCUUAUUUGCGUGUCUUCUUACAUGACAAAUCAUUUGGACUCAUUUGGUUUUGUUCUCCCUCCUGCAUCUUGCAAGUAAUUUUUAACAAAAUAUGAUAUUUGGAUGCUUUGCAGGUGCUUUCCUACAGAUCUCUGUGGCCUUCAUGAUGGUCCAGGGGUGUCACCUUGGAGCUGUGUUUGUUACAGAUGAGGUGGCUGAAUGGCAGUAACCCAUGCUUCAGCCAGAACGUCAUGGCAUGCAGGCUUCAAAAUACACUGUUUCCCUAAUGUCGUCUUGCUGAUGAGAAUCGUCUGGACACUUCCAGACAUGCGGUUGGACACCUUUGGCCUAAUGAGUUAAAAUAUGGGCUUGGAAGGGCUGCGGACCAGGAUUCUUAGUACAGCCAAACUUGGGAAAUAACUAUUGAAUGUACUGUGUAUGUAUUAUACCGUCUGCAACUAUUUUCUCCAUCACUGUUGCGUUAUAGAAAUUGGAGUAAGAUUAAUAUCACCACAGGCCUUGACUGGAACUAAAUUGAAAAGAAAAUUUAAAGCAAAUCUUAAACUUUCGGUGUCUUAAUUUUUCCAUUUGAACUCUUUCAUAGUACGUCAGCAUUGAUCCCGUUUGCCAACCAUUGAUCCGAAUACCAGGACUCUGCUUUUGUGUGGGUACCCAAAUGUUGGCAAGUCCAGCUUCAUCAAUAAGGUUGGUCUGCUUUUUAUUGUAAAGCAAAUCCUCUGGCCAUUUUACAUCAUUGCUACUAUAUUCUGACUGCGUGGGAUUCAGAAUGGCCUUGGUCAUAAUUUUGGCCUCCGAGUUGGUCCUUUAGUAAAUACUCCCCUGGUCUGCAGGAGGCCCCAGUGCCUGAGUACAUCUGAGUUCCCUUGGAGAGGAUUGUCUUUGUCUGUAUCUAGAUUUAUGUUACGAUUACAGAAACCAUUGCUUUUGGUUCUUGCGUGCCCUAUAAUUUCUAAGGAAUUUGAGAUGUGUAAGUGCAUUUUUGUUGACAACUGGAGAGUUUUUGUGGGUGUUGUUGACCUGCCCUGGAAUGGCGACGUCAGAUGGGCUCCAGCGGCAGAGGACACUCCGAGCUGGGGUCUGCCCAUCUGCAGCUGCCUCUGGGUGAUCUUGACACACCUUGGUUGCUGUGUCAACUUUCACGUGAAAUAGUAUGUGGUCCAGCAGAGGGGCAAGGUGCCUUGUCUCUUUUUCCUUGGGUGUACUCACUGACUAGGAUUCAAGUGUCACAUUUAAGGGACUCAGUCAUUUAGUGCUUCAGGACAAUUUGGCUGAGUUUGAGGGACCCAGGAAGAGGCAAAGCAACUUUAAAAUGUGAAUUUACAACCAGCCACAGCUCAUGUGCCAAGAAAAUUGUCAAAUUUUAUGGCCUACUCAGUGCCAAGAUCCCUAUAUUUUUAAUUAAAAAAAAAUUUUAUCUUUUUUUUUUUGGAGACGGAGUUUCGCUCUUGUCACCCAGGCUGGAGUGCAAUGGCACGAUCUCGGCUCACUGCAACCUCCACCUCCUGGGUUCAGGCAAUUCUCCUGCGUCAGCCUCCUGAGUAGCUGGGAUUACAGGCACACGCCACCAUGCCCAGCUAAUUUUUUGUAUUUUUAGUAGAGAU
ensembl:lincRNA